rnacentral:lncRNA from 1 species
CCAAAUGACCAGAUUGACCCCAUAAGAACCCCUAUAAAUAGAGGGCACCCCCCACUCAUUAAAGGGAGGUCAUUUGGAGAAGAAGAAUUCCUAGCGAAGCAGAGCUCUGCACACUUGAGUUCCGGUCCGGUUUCCCGCGGAGUUCCCCGCUUGGCGCUUGCUUGCGCGUCUUGGAGUACUGGUCGGGUUUCACCCCCAUCA